rnacentral:rRNA from 1 species
GUGCGUAACACAUGCAAGUCGUGCGGGCGGGGGCUUCGGCUUCCGUCAGCGGCGGACGGGUGAGUAACACGUGAGUCACCAACCCUCCAGUGGGGGAUACCCGGCGGAAACGCUGGUUAAUCCCGCAUACGUUGCUUCGGCAAGAAAGCCGUAAGGCGCUGGUGGACGGGCUCGCGGUCGAUUAGCUAGUUGGUUGGGGUAAUGGCCCACCAAGGCGACGAUCGAUAGCUGGUCUGAGAGGAUGAUCAGCCACACUGGGAUUGAGAACGGCCCAGACUCCUACGGGGGGCAGCAGUGAGGAAUCUUCGUCAAUGGGCUAAGGCCUGAACGAGCAACGCCGCGUGGAGGACGACGCCUUUCGGGGUGUAAACUCCUUUUCUGGGGGACGAGAACGGACGGUACCCCAGGAAGAAGUCUCGGCUAACUACGUGCCAGCAGCCGCGGUAAUACGUAGGAGACGAGCGUUGUCCGGAGUUACUGGGCGUAAAGGGCGCGCAGGCGGCCGCCCCGCGUGUGUGGUGAAAGCUCCUGGCUUAACUAGGAGAGGUCCAUGCAGACGGGGCGGCUUGAGCGUCGGAGAGGGGCAUGGAAUCCGGGUGGAGCGGUGAAAUGCGUAGAGAUCCGGAGGAACACCAAUGGCGA